GUAUCCAGAUGAGGGGCUCUGGGUCACCUCCCACCCGUGUUUAUUUUACCUUGUUGCUUCGGCGGGCCCGCCUUAACUGGCCGCCGGGGGGCUUACGCCCCCGGGCCCGCGCCCGCCGAAGACACCCUCGAACUCUGUCUGAAGAUUGUAGUCUGAGUGAAAAUAUAAAUUAUUUAAAACUUUCAACAACGGAUCUCUUGGUUCCGGCAUCGAUGAAGAACGCAGCGAAAUGCGAUACGUAAUGUGAAUUGCAAAUUCAGUGAAUCAUCGAGUCUUUGAACGCACAUUGCGCCCCCUGGUAUUCCGGGGGGCAUGCCUGUCCGAGCGUCAUUGCUGCCCUCAAGCACGGCUUGUGUGUUGGGCCCCGUCCUCCGAUCCCGGGGGACGGGCCCGAAAGGCAGCGGCGGCACCGCGUCCGGUCCUCGAGCGUAUGGGGCUUUGUCACCCGCUCUGUAGGCCCGGCCGGCGCUUGCCGAUCAACCCAAAUUUUUAUCCAGGUUGACCUCGGAUCAGGUAGGGAUACCCGCUGAACUUAAGCAUAUCAAUAAGCGGAGGAAAAGAAACCAACAGGGAUUGCCCCAGUAACGGCGAGUGAAGCGGCAAGAGCUCAAAUUUGAAAGCUGGCUCCUUCGGGGUCCGCAUUGUAAUUUGUAGAGGAUGCUUCGGGAGCGGUCCCCAUCUAAGUGCCCUGGAACGGGACGUCAUAGAGGGUGAGAAUCCCGUAUGGGAUGGGGUGUCCGCGCCCGUGUGAAGCUCCUUCGACGAGUCGAGUUGUUUGGGAAUGCAGCUCUAAAUGGGUGGUAAAUUUCAUCUAAAGCUAAAUAUUGGCCGGAGACCGAUAGCGCACAAGUAGAGUGAUCGAAAGAUGAAAAGCACUUUGAAAAGAGAGUUAAAAAGCACGUGAAAUUGUUGAAAGGGAAGCGCUUGCGACCAGACUCGCUCGCGGGGUUCAGCCGGCAUUCGUGCCGGUGUACUUCCCCGCGGGCGGGCCAGCGUCGGUUUGUGCGGUCGGUCAAAGGCCCUCGGAAGGUAACGCCCCUAGGGGCGUCUUAUAGCCGAGGGUGCAAUGCGACCUGGCUAUACCUAGGAACGAGGGUGGGUUCGGACCUGGGAUAAAUGACGAAAAGAUCAGCUUUGGAGAACCAGGAGAAGGCUCGGACUCGCUUUUUUUAAUAAAUAUAAGAGAGGAGAAAGGUGACU
rnacentral:sRNA from 1 species